UACGUAGGGUGCGAGCGUUGUCCGGAAUUAUUGGGCGUAAAGAGCUCGUAGGCGGUCUGUCGCGUCGGUCGUGAAAACUUGGGGCUUAACCCUGAGCUUGCGGUCGAUACGGGCAUGACUGGAGUUCGGCAGGGGAGACUGGAAUUCCAGGUGUAGCGGUGGAAUGCGUAGAUAUCUGGAGGAAUACCGGUGGCGAAGGCGGCAUCCUGGGCCGGCAUUGACGCUGAACAGCGAAAGCUAGGGGAGCAAACGGG
rnacentral:rRNA from 1 species